AAAUUGAAGAGUUUGAUCAUGGCUCAGAUUGAACGCUGGCGGCAGGCCUAACACAUGCAAGUCGAACGGUAACAGAAAGCAGCUUGCUGCUUUGCUGACGAGUGGCGGACGGGUGAGUAAUGUCUGGGAAACUGCCUGAUGGAGGGGGAUAACUACUGGAAACGGUAGCUAAUACCGCAUAACGUCGCAAGACCAAAGAGGGGGACCUUCGGGCCUCUUGCCAUCGGAUGUGCCCAGAUGGGAUUAGCUAGUAGGUGGGGUAACGGCUCACCUAGGCGACGAUCCCUAGCUGGUCUGAGAGGAUGACCAGCCACACUGGAACUGAGACACGGUCCAGACUCCUACGGGAGGCAGCAGUGGGGAAUAUUGCACAAUGGGCGCAAGCCUGAUGCAGCCAUGCCGCGUGUAUGAAGAAGGCCUUCGGGUUGUAAAGUACUUUCAGCGGGGAGGAAGGGAGUAAAGUUAAUACCUUUGCUCAUUGACGUUACCCGCAGAAGAAGCACCGGCUAACUCCGUGCCAGCAGCCGCGGUAAUACGGAGGGUGCAAGCGUUAAUCGGAAUUACUGGGCGUAAAGCGCACGCAGGCGGUUUGUUAAGUCAGAUGUGAAAUCCCCGGGCUCAACCUGGGAACUGCAUCUGAUACUGGCAAGCUUGAGUCUCGUAGAGGGGGGUAGAAUUCCAGGUGUAGCGGUGAAAUGCGUAGAGAUCUGGAGGAAUACCGGUGGCGAAGGCGGCCCCCUGGACGAAGACUGACGCUCAGGUGCGAAAGCGUGGGGAGCAGACAGGAUUAGAUACCCUGGUAGUCCACGCCGUAAACGAUGUCGACUUGGAGGUUGUGCCCUUGAGGCGUGGCUUCCGGAGCUAACGCGUUAAGUCGACCGCCUGGGGAGUACGGCCGCAAGGUUAAAACUCAAAUGAAUUGACGGGGGCCCGCACAAGCGGUGGAGCAUGUGGUUUAAUUCGAUGCAACGCGAAGAACCUUACCUGGUCUUGACAUCCACGGAAGUUUUCAGAGAUGAGAAUGUGCCUUCGGGAACCGUGAGACAGGUGCUGCAUGGCUGUCGUCAGCUCGUGUUGUGAAAUGUUGGGUUAAGUCCCGCAACGAGCGCAACCCUUAUCCUUUGUUGCCAGCGGUCCGGCCGGGAACUCAAAGGAGACUGCCAGUGAUAAACUGGAGGAAGGUGGGGAUGACGUCAAGUCAUCAUGGCCCUUACGACCAGGGCUACACACGUGCUACAAUGGCGCAUACAAAGAGAAGCGACCUCGCGAGAGCAAGCGGACCUCAUAAAGUGCGUCGUAGUCCGGAUUGGAGUCUGCAACUCGACUCCAUGAAGUCGGAAUCGCUAGUAAUCGUGGAUCAGAAUGCCACGGUGAAUACGUUCCCGGGCCUUGUACACACCGCCCGUCACACCAUGGGAGUGGGUUGCAAAAGAAGUAGGUAGCUUAACCUUCGGGAGGGCGCUUACCACUUUGUGAUUCAUGACUGGGGUGAAGUCGUAACAAGGUAACCGUAGGGGAACCUGCGGUUGGAUCACCUCCUUA
rnacentral:rRNA from 1 species